rnacentral:rRNA from 1 species
GGUGUGAUCAUACCAGCACUAAUGCACCGGAUCC